GAUGAACGCUGGCGGCGUGCCUAACACAUGCAAGUCGAACGAAGCAUCUUAUCUUGAUUUCUUCGGAUUGAUUGAUUUGGUGACUGAGUGGCGGGCGGGUGAGUAACGCGUGGGUAACCUGCCUUAUACAGGGGGAUAACAGUUAGAAAUGACUGCUAAUACCGCAUAAGCGCACAGUAUCGCAUGAUACAGUGUGAAAAACUCCGGUGGGAUAAGAUGGACCCGCGUCUGAUUAGCUAGUUGGUGAGGUAAUGGCUCACCAAGGCGACGAUCAGUAGCCGGCCUGAGAGGGUGAACGGCCACAUUGGGACUGAGACACGGCCCAAACCCCUACGGGAGGCAGCAGUGGGGAAUAUUGCACAAUGGGGGAAACCUUGAUGCAGCGACGCCGCGUGAGCGAUGAAGUAUUUCGGUAUGUAAAGCUCUAUCAGCAGGGAAGAAAAUGACGGUACCUGACUAAGAAGCCCCGGCUAACUACGUGCCAGCAGCCGCAGUAACAC
rnacentral:rRNA from 1 species